rnacentral:sRNA from 1 species
UAAUGGACAUAGAAAAAGGGAACUGCGCUAACAGUUCCCAGGUAACACCGUUUAAGACGGUAGCCGUUGCCAAUUUUUGUUUAUUUUAUA